GCCUUGAGUCUGCGGGCAAGAAAAGCUGAAUGUGGAGCUGCCAGUCGUCCGUACCGUAAACCGACACAGGUGGGUGAGGCGAGUAGCCUCAGGUGAACGAGUGAAACGUGGUCAAGGAACUCGGCAUAAUGAUCCCGUAACUCCGGAAGAAGGGAUGCCCUGUUUGGUAACCGGACUUGCUCCGGGAGCAGAAUGAGGCCGCAGAGAAUCGGCCCAAGCGACUGUUUAGCAAAAACACAGGUGCGUGCCAAGCCGCAUAAGGCGCCGUAUACGCACUGACGCCUGCCCGGUGCCGGAAGGUUAAGGGGAGAGGUUAGCCGCAAGGCGAAGCUUUGAGCCGAAGCCCCGGUAAACGGCGGCCGUAACAAUAACGGUCCUAAGGUAGCGAAAUUCCUUGUCGGGUAAGUUCCGACCUGCACGAAUGGCGUAACGACUUGGGCACUGUCUCGACCACGUGCUCGGCGAAAUUGCAGUCUCGGUGAGGAUUCCGAGUCCCCGCAGCAGGACAAAAAGACCCCAUGCACCUUUACUGCAGCUUGUCAUUGGACAUUGCACUUCACUGUGUAGCAUAGGUGGGAGCCGGUGAACCCUGGGCGCUAGCCUGGGGGGAGGCAUCGUGAAAUACCACCCUGUGUAGUGCGAUGCCCUCACCACGGAAGGCAAACCCUUUCUGGGACCGUGGCAGGCGGGCAGUUUGACUGGGGCGGUCGCCUCCGAAAGAGUAACGGAGGCGCGCGCAAGGUUGGCUCAGCGCGGUCGGUACUCGCGCUUCUAGAGUGUAACGGCAAAAGCCAGCCUGACGGAGAGACCGACGGGUCGACCCGCCACGAAAGUGGGCCGUAGCGAUCCGGUAGCCCGGGGUGGAGCGGCUAUCGCGCAACGGAUAAAAGGUACGCUGGGGAUAACAGGCUUAUCGCGCCCGAGAGUUCACAUCGACGGCGCGGUUUGGCACCUCGAUGUCGGCUUAUCACAUCCUGGGGCUGGAGAAGGUCCCAAGGGUCCGGCUGUUCGCCGGUUAAAGUGGUACAUGAGCUGGGUUCAGAACGUCGUGAGACAGUUCGGUCUGUAUCCGCUGUGGGCGUUGGAGUGUUGAGGGGAGCGGACUCUAGUACGAGAGGACCGAGUCGGACGAUCCGCUCGUGUCCCGGCUGUCCUGCCAAGGGCACCGCCGGGUAGCGAUGAUCGGCUGUGAUAACCGCUGAAUGCAUCUAAGUGGGAAGCACGCCCCAAGAUGAACACUCCCGAGGCUUCGAGCCUCCUGAAGGGCCGGGGAAGACCACCCCGUCGAUAGGCCGCCCGUGGACGUCGAGCGAUCGACUCCGAGCGCAGCGGUCCUAAUCGCCCGUGCGGCUUGACUAC
rnacentral:rRNA from 1 species